UUUGGACAAUGGGCGCAAGCCUGAUCCAGCCAUGCCGCGUGAGUGAAGAAGGCCUUCGGGUUGUAAAGCUCCAGACGGAAAGAAAUCUCUCAGGAUAAUACCUUGGGAGGAUGACGGUACCGUAAGAAGAAGCACCGGCUAACUACGUGCCAGCAGCCGCGGUAAUACGUAGGGUGCGAGCGUUAAUCGGAAUUACUGGGCGUAAAGCUGCGCAGGCGGUGAUGUAAGACAGAUGUGAAAUCCCCGGCUCAACCUGGGAACUGCGUUAAUUGUGACUGCAUCACUCGAGACGGCAGAGGGAGGUGGAAGGGUUCCGCGUGUAGCAGUGAAAGCGUAGAUAUGCGGAGGAACACCGAUGGCGGGAAGGCAGCCUCCUGGGCCAUACUGACGCCAUGCACGAAAGCGUGGGGAGCAAACAGGAUUAGAUACCCUGGUAGUCCACGCCCUAAAGAUGUCAACUAGUUGUUCGGUGAGGAGACUCAUUGAGUAACGCAGCUAAUUGCGUGAAGUUGACCGCCUGGGGAGUACGGCCGCAAGGUUAAAACUCAA
rnacentral:rRNA from 1 species